UGACCUUUGUGACCAUUAUAAUUGUCGUUUAGCCUAUUAAGAACACGCGUGAAACACAGGAUAUGAUAUCACACGACAGUUCACCUCGACGCUGUUUGGACGUCUUGGAGCUAAGUGCAGUGCAAAUAGUGAUAAAGAGCUUUAGAUAAUUAUACUUGGAAAAUGUUGAUUUUUAGAGCAGUUGCCAGUUAUAUAAGAAGUAGUUUGUUUCGUCAAAUUCGUAAAUGGUUUUAUAUUGAACUGUAUAUAAUGUGUUUUUUACGGAACAAUUAUAAUGCAGCACUGGUAAUUUUAUAUUUACAGGUGCAAUGGAAAUGGCGAGGGCAUAUUGCGAGGUGUGAAAAGAUGAACCACCGAAGCCCGAUGGAGGGGACCCCCAGGAAAAAGAAACGUGGCAAGACCACAAAAGCGAUGGGCUGACGAUAUCAUACAGGUUUCUGGGGAGAAAUAGAUGGAGGAAACAAAGAGCUAAUCCAAAUAGAAAGUUCAGGAGGAGGCCUUUACCCAAAAGUGGUCCUUUAGUGGUUUACCCAAAACUGCAAAACAAGAAGUAAUGGUACAUUGAAGAGACAAAAUCGUAAAACUCAGAUAAGGGAUCCCAUACUUAUAAACAAUAUAUAACUUAAUUUGCCGCUACUCAAAGUCUUAUAGAUUAAAUAAAACCUUCACAAAUUGAACUAGAUGAGUGGCGAUUAUAAGUAAAGUCUAGUACAUAACAAAAUCGCAUGACAAAAAUCUAGAAAGGCAUGCUUAAAACCUAUAUCUAAAUCUACAAUGUAAAGCGGUAUGAUCGUUUUGUUACAAGUUACGCAAUUGUUUAUCUAACCAUAAAAUCUACGUUGCGAUCUCAAAAUCUAGUUCUGGUAACUAAAUGCGUGGAGGCGGCGCAUACAGGUAGAGUGCAUUCACAAAAUUGUUUAUUUUCUCAAUGUAUUAUACCUUUCGUAGGUAUUUAUUAAGUAUCUUCAUCCUUCAUACAGAUGUUAUAGGAAACGGACAAUUAUACUGAACUAACCGAUGCUCGAACAUUGAUCAUAAUUCAACCGAAAUCUAAAAUAGCCAUUGCUGCCAGUAUAGUUCUAUAGAAAGCUGGUUUGACAGCCGUUUUACAGUAAAAUUUAUUUUGGUAUUGGUAGCUUUUACGACUACUAAAUUUAAUAUAAUUGUUAGAAUAGAAAUUGAAGAUUACGCUCCUAUUCAUAAAUGUCAAGCCUUAACGAAUUUAUGAAUGUUUUGUUCCGUUUACGUGUUUAAAAUUAACACUAGAGUGAGAAGGACAAAACAUUAGAUAUAUAUUUGUGACUUCCCAAUUGGUAUAUCCGUCGUGAAUUUUUAUAUUAAUAUGAAGUAGCGUAUUUUGUGAGUGCACUCGGAUAAGUGUAUAAUAGACGCCGCAAAUGUUGAGCGCUGUGGUAUAAUAGUGUACGCUCCAACUAUUCAGUUUUCAUUUGUCUAUAAGAAAUAAUUUUCAGCGCUCAAAAUCCGCGGCUAACUCUACCUCAGCGAGGUUUGUUAUCGAGGAGAGCCUUUGUAGUGAGCUCCUUCGUUGUGUCGUGACUAGCUUGCGUACUACAUUUAAAGGCCGCCUUAGGCCUAGCAUCUGUGUGCCGAAGAAAGAAUCGGACGCUUCCUCGCUGUCUUCUUGAAUGGAAACCUUGAAAUCAAAUACUCGAGUGUCGCCGUGUACGUUUAACGUAUACGUACUGGUGCGUACUUUUGUGCAAACUAAAUAAAUGGUGUGUUUUU